rnacentral:rRNA from 1 species
CCUACGGGAGGCAGCAGUGGGGAAUAUUGCACAAUGGGCGAAACCCUGAUGCAGCGACGCCGCGUGAGUGAGGAAGUCUUUCGGUACGUAAAGCUCUAUCGGCAGGGAAGAAAAUGACUGUAACUAACUAUGCAUCUCUGGCUAACUACGUGCCAGCAGCCCCGGUAAUACGGCGGGGGCACGCGUUCUCCGGAUUUACUGGGGGUAAAGGGAGCGUAGACGGCUAAUCAAGUCAGAAGUGAAAGCCUAGGGCUCAACCUUGGGAGGGCUUUUGAAACUGAGGAGCUAGAGUGCAGGAGAGGAAAGCGGAAGUCCGAGUGUAGCGGUGAAAUGCGUAGAUAUUAGGAGGAACACCAGUGGCGAAGGCGGCUAACUGGACUGCAACUGACGCUGAGGUUCGAAAGUGUGGGUAGCAAACAGGAUUAGAUACCCUAGUAGUC